GAGGAGCUAGUCCAAAACAAGACCCCUGAUUUCGGCUCAGAAGAUCGUGACUCAACCCCACGGCCCCUCU
rnacentral:tRNA from 1 species